CUGCUGCGACCCGGCGUGCGGACGUGGGUGCGGCGCGUUUGUCUUUUGUCGACCGCGCGCGUGUGCGCGCAGUUCAAGAAGCCGGCGCAUGCGUGAGACCGUGUGCUGCACCGGUGCCGAGGCUGCGCAAGAGCCGUUCGUGUGGGCGUUGCGGUGCGUGCGUGCGUGCGCCGCUGC
rnacentral:snoRNA from 1 species